UUUAUGGGGUCUCUUUAUGGGGUGGGUUUAUGGGACCCCCUCCCCCCCAAAACCCCAUAGGAUCGCCUUCCAUCCUCCAUGGGUCUCACGGUCAGUGGGGCACUGUGGGGUCCCUUUAUGGAGUCUCUUUAUGGGGUGGGUUUAUGGGACCCCCCCCCAAAACCCCAUAGGAUCGCCUUCCAUCCUCUAUGGGUCUCACAUUCAAUGGGGCACUGCAGGGUCCCUUUAUGGGGUCUCUUUAUGGGGUGGGUUUAUGGGCUCUCUUUAUGGGGUGGGUUUAUGGGGUCCAACCCCCCCCCCAGCGCCGCUAUGGGGCCGUUUGUGGGAUUCUCAUCGUCUUCCGUGAAGACCCCCCAGCUAUGCAAACGCACGGACACUUUUUGGGGUGAAAAAGGGGCAAAAAGGGCAAAAAGAGACACACAAAUGGGAAGGGCCGAAAGAACCCCGACCCCAAUGGGAGCCUUUGGGGUUUUU
rnacentral:lncRNA from 1 species